rnacentral:rRNA from 1 species
GAUGAACGCUGGCGGCGUGCUUAACACAUGCAAGUCGAACGAUCAUCUGAAUAAGGUGAUAGUGGCGAACGGGUGAGUAACACGUAGGUGACCUGCCCCAGAGAGGGGAAUAACUGCUGGAAACGGUAGCUAAUACCCCAUGCGCUCGGCAGUUCGGUCUGUCGAGCAAAGCUCCGGCGCUCUGGGAGGGGCCUGCGGCCCAUCAGGUAGUUGGUAGGGUAAUGGCCUACCAAGCCUAUGACGGGUAGGGGGCGUGAGAGCGUGGUCCCCCACACUGGCACUGAGACACGGGCCAGACUCCUACGGGAGGCAGCAGUGAGGAAUAUUGAGCAAUGGGCGAAAGCCUGACUCAGCAACGCCGCGUGGGCGAUGAAGGCCUUCGGGUCGUAAAGCCCUUUUCUGAGGGAUGAGGAAGGACAGUACCUCAGGAAUAAGUCACGGCUAACUACGUG